rnacentral:rRNA from 1 species
UCGUAACAAGGUCUCCGUUGGUGAACCAGCGGAGGGAUCAUUACUGAGUUUACGCUCUAUAACCCUUUGUGAACAUACCUAUAACUGUUGCUUCGGCGGGUAGGGUCUCCGUGACCCUCCCGGCCUCCCGCCCCCGGGCGGGUCGGCGCCCGCCGGAGGAUAACCAAACUCUGAUUUAACGACGUUUCUUCUGAGUGGUACAAGCAAAUAAUCAAAACUUUUAACAACGGAUCUCUUGGUUCUGGCAUCGAUGAAGAACGCAGCGAAAUGCGAUAAGUAAUGUGAAUUGCAGAAUUCAGUGAAUCAUCGAAUCUUUGAACGCACAUUGCGCCCGCCAGCAUUCUGGCGGGCAUGCCUGUUCGAGCGUCAUUUCAACCCUCAAGCUCUGCUUGGUGUUGGGGCCCUACAGCUGAUGUAGGCCCUCAAAGGUAGUGGCGGACCCUCCCGGAGCCUCCUUUGCGUAGUAACUUUACGUCUCGCACUGGGAUCCGGAGGGACUCUUGCCGUAAAACCCCCAAUUCUCCAAAGGUUGACCUCGGAUCAGGUAGGAAUACCCGCUGAACUUAAGCAUAUCAAUAA